UCACCACUUACCAGCAGACAGCUUACUUAACCUCUCUUAACCUUACUUAAUCGUCGUUCUCACAUCCACAGAUUGGAAGACGACCAUAGUACACAAGGCAAAAUCAAGCAAUUGGCUGAAAAAUUGGAGGAGUGCACAAAUUAUAACCUCAAGAAAUAACCCACUUCAAGAAAUAUGUCAUUAAGAAGUUUCAAAGUUAAUCAUGACUUAUAAUCAGCCUGGAAAGAUACAGCACUGACAAGAUUGAGAAUAGAGGAUAAAGACUUAAUGCACAUUGGUCCAAAGUGAUAAUAAAGUUGUCAAAAUGUUGAAUUGAUUGAAGAUGAGUUGUUUUCUGUUAGUAGUUUCACAAAUUAUAGCCAGACGUGUUUACUUGAAAACUGUAGAAUCACCUGAGGAAACAGUAAUUUUCUGUGUAGUAGGUUUAUGAUUUUGAAUGUUUUGUAUUCUUUCACUUGUUUGUACAGUCAACGGG
ensembl:lncRNA